rnacentral:misc_RNA from 1 species
GAGCUCCUCAUCUCCAUGCUUAGUUCCUAAUUCUUUGAAAAGUAAGGUUUUUGAUGAACAUCUUGGUCAAAUGACAAUUAACAAAAGUUACAAUCCUCCAGCAUUGCAAAAUUUGUUCCAUGAGUCUAAACUUAACUACAUAAAUUGGUCUGAUGAAGGGAACCUGCAAUUAUCAAAGGAUGCUAGUAUUUCACAUGCAACAAAUCAAGAUGGAGAAAUGCAAAAGCCUAAAAAAC